GUGAAGAGGUUCACAAGGCAGAAGGUAAACCAGGAACAUGGUUUCCUAAAAGCCAUUGGAAAAAAAUACUAAAUGCUGUGGAUGGGGCAAAAAAGAGGAAGACUGAAGCUGAUCUUGGAUUUAACAUGCAGUAACUGUGAGGGAAACCUGCCUGACGGAAGAGCCAAGGUGAUGGGGAUGACUGAGGGAAGAGAUGGAAAGAACCCGAACCACCCAUGACACACUGAUUGUUCUACACCUGAAGCCUGUCCCAUCUGGGACUUCAUAAUUUAAGCCAGUGGUCCACUUGGCACUGAAGAGACCGGCUGAAAGCAGCAGGAGCCCAUGCUGCCACAUGCCCCACUGCUGUCAGGAAGCGUGCGCUGCUGUGACAUUGAGUGCCUGUCGACGGGGUGCAUCAGGUGUUUUCAGGUCAGCUCACACUUGCAAAUUUUCCAAGAUUCCCAAACUUCAUAUGACUUUAUCAUUACUUGUCUAUCUUGACAAAUACACUUUCAAGAAAGCUCAUACAGCUCCAUGUCUAAAGCAAA